CCAGAAAAAAAAAGAUCUAUGGGAGGACAAACAAAAGACUGGCGGGAGUUUAGACCAAUCAGAGCGCGGGACUCCGCCGCUUGGACGUUCGGUUUUGAAGCGCGAGCGCUCUCCGCCGUUCCUCCGUUUAAAGCCAAACGCGGCCGUUACAGCCGUUACAGUGAGCGGGUCUCUCAGGUCGCUACCGCGGGCAGUUUAUCGAGUUUGUUUAGCGAGUGUUAAACCUGAUAAGACUCUCUUACACUCCUUACUAAGACAGCGCCGCCUCCCAGAAACGAGGAUUUUCAGCUGCGUAGCUGACUAACGGUCAGCGGUCAGAGUCUGCUUUUAAAAGAUGUUUCUCAUCAGAAAUCAUCUGAAGCUGAGCAACUGGAACAUCCUCUCUUUGGGCCUCAUCCAGUAUGGUGGCAGUCCAUAUCAUUCUCAACACUCAACUGUGCUCUUAAGCAAGUGGCCUCAUCCUGAUGCUUCUUUCAUUACACUGAACAUCAUUGUCUGAACAUCAGCUAUGCGUGUGAGCUGGGUGCCACACUGGAGUUCAUGCAUAGCGAGCUUGGCACGCCCUCACACAACGCAACGCAUCUACCGGAGCCCGUGUAUUGGCGGAACCGCUCUGGUGCUUGAUCAGUCAGAGCCAAGUGAGCGAGCUAACUAAUCUGAGCAUACUGGGCUCAUCAGGAAGGAGGGGCUUAAAGACACUGGAGCUCUAACAGAGCGUUUCAGACAGAGGAUGCAUUUUCCUCAUAUCUCUGACAAAGAAGAGUAACACAAAAAACAGAGGAAGAAGCGAUGGGCUGUGAAUCUGACAGUUCUCUCACUCAUCACGGAUUUAACUCUGAAAGGAGAGAUCGGUAACAUUAGCAGUGCGAUAUCAGUAAUGUUAGUGUUCAGGCAUUACGGCAUGGACGUUAUCUGUGUCCUGUUUCCUGUGUCCACAUAUGUCCACAGCUUGACUCUGUUCCAGCUACCAGCACAUCUGAGUCUGGUAUUAAUUGUUUGACAGCUGAUCAUUAUCUGGCUCAGGUAUGUUAUGAGUACUGCUGGGGUUCAGACCUCUGUAUUACUCUGUUGGUCAGUUUUUCUUUUUAGUCCAUAUUAAUUUGUCUUAAAAUUGUUUCCUAUCAUUUAUAAUUGUUCAUAGUACUAUAUUGUUAAUAACCUCAGCAUAACUUAUAUACGGAAUAACAGCAGACCUUAAAAUCAGAUUCAUUGGUUUGUGGAACUGUGUAUUUAUUGCAGUAUAUUUCAAAUUUCUACACAAAGUCAGUUAACAUGUUUUUCUCUUUCUGUAGAACAUAUCAAGUGUGAUGACGCUAUUGUACUGUGCAUAUACACAGUUGUAAAAACAAUAAACAAUAACUGUAAUUAUA